GACGAAGGAUGCAAGCGUUAUCCGGAGUCAUUGGGGUUAAAGGGCGCGUAGGUGGACUGGUAAGUCAGUGGUGAAAUCUCCGAGCUUAACUCGGAAAUUGCCAUUGAUACUGUCGGUCUUGAGUAUAGUUGCCGUUGGCGGAAUAUGACAUGUAGUGGUGAAAUACAUAGAGAUGUCAUAGAACACCGAUUGCGAAGGCAGCUGACGAAACUAUAACUGACACUGAGGCUCGAAAGUGUGGGGAUCAAACAGG
rnacentral:rRNA from 1 species